UACGAAGGGGGCUAGCGUUGUUCGGAAUUACUGGGCGUAAAGCGCACGUAGGCGGAUUGUUAAGUUAGGGGUGAAAUCCCAGGGCUCAACCCUGGAACUGCCUUUAAUACUGGCAAUCUCGAGUCCGAGAGAGGUGAGUGGAAUUCCGAGUGUAGAGGUGAAAUUCGUAGAUAUUCGGAGGAACACCAGUGGCGAAGGCGGCUCACUGGCUCGGUACUGACGCUGAGGUGCGAAAAGCGUGGGGAGCAAACAGGG
rnacentral:rRNA from 1 species